GAUAGUGGAAUCUUUUGGAUUUCUCAAAGUUGAAACUCCAGUUCUACAGGGAGCAGCUGGUGGAGUAGAAGCAAGACCAUUUGUUACCUACCAUAAUUCGCUAGGAAGGGAUCUUUAUUUGAGGAUAGCAACAGAGCUCCACUUGAAGAGGAUGCUGGUUGAAGUGCCUGGGGGCCGAGGGAAGCCAUCCAAAAUUGUUGACAAGGAUGAAGGUCUAGAAAAGUUUGAUGCUGCAAAAUUAAGAAAGCUUAGACCAAGUUUCAAGCAGAACGAGG